rnacentral:rRNA from 1 species
GACGAACGCUGGCGGCGUGCCUAAUACAUGCAAGUAGAACGCUGAAGCGAGGAGCUUGCUCUUCUUGGAUGAGUUGCGAACGGGUGAGUAACGCGUAGGUAACCUGCCUUGUAGCGGGGGAUAACUAUUGGAAACGAUAGCUAAUACCGCAUAACAAUGGAUGACACAUUUCAUUUAUUUGAAAGGGGCAAUUGCUCCACUACAAGAUGGACCUGCGUUGUAUUAGCUAGUAGGUGAGGUAAUGGCUCACCUAGGCGACGAUACAUAGCCGACCUGAGAGGGUGGUCGGCCCAACUGGGACUGGGACACGGCCCAGCAUCCUACGGGAGGGAGCAGGAGGGAAUCUUCGGCAAUGGGGGCAAACCUGACCGAGCAACGCCGCGGGAGUGAAGAAGGUUUUCGGAUCGUAAAGCUCUGUUGUAAGUCAAGAACGGGUGUGAGAGUGGAAAGUUCACACUGUGACGGUAGCUUACCAGAAAGGGACGGCUAACUACGUG